CCGUGGGUUUAGCUCGGCGAAGCGGCCGCCUCUGUGGCGGGUGGAGUCUGUUUUUCGUGGUCUCUUCUCCCCCUGGCUGCCACAGUCAGGUUACCGGCCAGUCUAAAUGCUGUCAUUGGAGAGGACGCCCGGGAGAUUGGGGACUAGGGAAGCCGGAAUGCGCCUGAAAUAGCGGAGACAGGGUCUGCCUCUGUAGGCUUGGCUGUCUUGAAACUGGCUAUGUACAUCAACUGGCUACAAACUCAUAGAUCCACCUGCCUCUAUCUCGAGAGUGCUGGGAUUAAAGCAUUUUAAAAGAUUGCUUGACAAAAAUUGUAUAUAUUUAUGACAUUUACAAUUACACUUUCAAACUUAUAUAUUGUGAAACAGUGAAAUCAGGCUAAUUAACUCAAUGACUUCAUAUGUUUUUGUGGAUCAACCAAGGACCUACCUAAAUCAUGCUCUGGACCACUGACCUAUUCCUCUCUUACAAUUGUGAACUUAGAAUGGCUUGGAGUACUCUGAGAGAUAGCACUGCUUAACAGAUGAUACCCAGCACUAUGAAAGUGCCCUCAAAACUACAAGGCACAGAUUCUGAACUUCCUGGCUGUGCUUUGCACUUGAUCCAAAUACUGGCCUCAGGACAGGGAGGACUGACAAGCAGAACUGGAGGUUUUGGAUAGAGAGCAUGGACAUGUUGGCACCAGCAUUUGUCAGGAGAUUCACUCUCUUCUGGAGCCACAGAGCACACACGGAUUCCUCACUGUUCUUGCAAGGUGAUCCCUGUUAUUGCUGAAUCCCAGCAGAGAGCCAGUCCCAACAGAUCUGAGAGUGCACAAAUUCACACUGAAGAACCUAGAAAUAGGUGCUGUAACCUAUCAAGAUUUGCAUAUCAACUUCACUCAGGAAGAGUGGGCUUUGCUGGAUCCUUCACAGAAGAACCUCUACAAAGAUGUGAUGCUAGAGACCUAUAUGAACCUCCAUGUGAUAGGCUACAAAUGGGAAGAUGAUAAUAUCGAAGAACAUUGUCAAAGUCCUCAAAGGCAUGGAAGGCAUGAAAGAACUCCUACCAGAGAGAAAUCUUCUACACACAUUCAGUGUCAUAAAUUCUCUGUAUAUGACAAUCAGCUUCCAAGUCAUGAAAGAACACUGACUGGAAAGAAACUCCAUGAAUGUAACCAAUGUGGUAAAGCCUUUAAUUGGCACAGUGUUCUUCAAAUACAUAGAAGAACACAUACUGGAGAGAAGCCCUAUGAAUGUACUCAUUGUGGUAAAGCCUUCGCUUGGCGCAAGGAUCUUCAAGAGCAUGAAAGAACACAUACGGGAGAAAAGCCCUAUGAAUGUACUCAGUGUGGUAAAGCCUUUACUCGGAGAAGGCAGCUGCAACUGCAUAGAAGAACACAUACUGGAGAGAAACCCUAUCAAUGUAAUCAGUGUGGUAAAGCUUUUGCUCAGCACAGUUAUCUUGAAAUGCAUAAAAGAUUACAUACUGGAAUGAAAUCCUAUGAAUGUGAUCAGUGUGGUAAACCCUUCGUAAGUCAAAGUAAUCUUCAAAUACAUAAAAGAACACAUACUGGAGAGAAGCCCUAUGAAUGUCAUCAGUGUGGUAAAGCCUUCGCUUGGCACAGUACUCUUAAAGUACAUAAAAGAACACAUACUGGAGAGAAACCCUAUGAAUGUCAUCAGUGUGGUAAAGCCUUUGCUCGGGACAAUCAUCUUGAAAGACAUAGAAGAACACAUACUGGAGAGAAACCCUAUGAAUGUAAUCAGUGCGGUAAAGCCUUUGCUCAGGACAGUCAUCUUCAAAGACAUAGAAGAAUACAUACUUGGUAGAAACCCUAUGAAUGUAAUCAGUGUGGCAAAGCCUUCACACAUCACUGUAAUUUUAAAACGCAUACAAGAACACAUCACUAGUGAGAAACCAUAUCAACCUAUUUGGUGUGGUAAAGCCUUUGCUCAGCACAGUACCUUUCAAAUACAGAAAAGAAAUCAAACUGGAGAAAAGCCCUAUUGAUGGCAGAAUUCUGUGUUUUCUUAAUGAAUCACAGAGUCAGCUCUCAGGCUAAAUUCUGAAAGAUCUGUAAAGCAGUAAAACCAAUCUCUUGUUCUUACCUCGACAAAAUCCUCAGAACAAAUGAACUAGAGACAGUGAAAGAAACACCUCUUCUCUGAAACAAGAGAGAAAGGGUUAAAAAGGGACAGUGAAAGAAACAGAUUGUGUGCCCUAAACCAGUGCCAAAGAAACACUCUAUCCUUGACCAACUGAGUAUUAAACCUAGAAAUCCCUAAUUCAAAACUAACCAGUCUCUGAGCACAAAAACCAGGCAUUGUCUGAACAUGUUCCAGCUUAAGGAUUGAAAUAUAGCCAAUCCCAACUGGAAAUCUCCCUGGAAAAACUGUCCCUAAAAAGCCCUCUAUUAGGUCAAUGGUUUUUCAGUUGGCAGUUGUUGUCACAUCAAGUCCAGUAGACUCUGUGUUACAAGUUCCAAAGCCUGAGGUGGUAACUCCAAAAAAAGGACGUCUCCUGAAACUGGUUGUGAAACUCUCAGCUGGAGAAAAAUAUUGGGCCGUGGUUCAUAUGAUAUUUUCUGUUUUUUCUUCUAUUCCCUUUUCAUAUUAACUGUUCCUAUAAUCUUGUGCUGACAUUUUAAACAAAAGAAAUAGAUAAGAAACCAUACCGUGAGAUGCGGUCACUAGCCAUGGCAUCAUCUCUGUAAAAACAAGAGCUUUCCAGAUCAUUCACCUCAUUCACAUAAGUACAAACAGUAAUAACAUUCCCAACAAAAAAUUUUCAUAUAGUUUUUUCAUAUAAAGUUGAUUAUUGUUCUUUCAAGGUCUGUGAAUUGUGCCGGAAUUUUGAUAAGGAUUGCAUUGAAUCUCUAGACUGCUUUUGGCAAGAUUGCCAUUUUUAUUAUGUUGAU